rnacentral:rRNA from 1 species
AGUGAACGCUGGCGGUAGGCCUAACACAUGCAAGUCGAACGGCAGCACAGGAGAGCUUGCUCUCUGGGUGGCGAGUGGCGGACGGGUGAGGAAUACAUCGGAAUCUACUCUGUCGUGGGGGAUAACGUAGGGAAACUUACGCUAAUACCGCAUACGACCUACGGGUGAAAGCAGGGGAUCUUCGGACCUUGCGCGAUUGAAUGAGCCGAUGUCGGAUUAGCUAGUUGGCGGGGUAAAGGCCCACCAAGGCGACGAUCCGUAGCUGGUCUGAGAGGAUGAUCAGCCACACUGAACAUGAGUCACGGUCCAGACUCCAACGGGAGUCAGCAGUGGGGAAUAUUGGACAAUGGGCGCAAGCCUGAUCCAGCCAUACCGCGUGGGUGAAGAAGGCCUUCGGGUUGUAAAGCCCUUUUGUUGGGAAAGAAAUCCAGCUGGCUAAUACCCGGUUGGGAUGACGGUACCCAAAGAAUAAGCACCGGCUAACUUCGUGCCAGCAGCCGCCGUAA